rnacentral:rRNA from 1 species
GCAUAUCAAUAAGCGGAGGAAAAGAAACCAACAGGGAUUGCCUUAGUAACGGCGAGUGAAGCGGCAACAGCUCAAAUUUGAAAUCUGGCCCUCGGGUCCGAAUUGUAAUUUGUAGAGGAUGAUUUUGGUGCGGUAUCUUCCGAGUUCCUUGGAACAGGACGCCUUAGAGGGUGAGAGCCCCGUACGGUUGAAUGCCUAGCCUCUGUAAAUCUCCUUCGACGAGUCGAGUAGUUUGGGAAUGCUGCUCUAAAUGGGAGGUAAAUUUCUUCUAAAGCUAAAUAUUGGCCAGAGACCGAUAGCGCACAAGUAGAGUGAUCGAAAGAUGAAAAGCACUUUGAAAAGAGGGUUAAAUAGCACGUGAAAUUGUUGAAAGGGAAGGAUUUGUGACCAGACUUUUUCUGGGCGGAUCAUCCGGGGUUCUCUCCGGUGCACUUUGCCCAGUAAAGGCCAGCAUCGAUUUUCGGCGGCGGAUAAAAGCAGUGGGAAUGUGGCUCCCUACGGGGAGUGUUAUAGCCCAUUGUAUAAUACGCUGCUGGGGAUCGAGGUACGCGCUUCUGCAAGGAUGCUGGCGUAAUGGUUAUCAAUCACCCGUCUUGAAACACCGACC